rnacentral:rRNA from 1 species
AGUGAACGCUGGCGGUAGGCCUAACACAUGCAAGUCGAACGGCAGCACAGUAAGAGCUUGCUCUUACGGGUGGCGAGUGGCGGACGGGUGAGGAAUACAUCGGAAUCUACUUUUUCGUGGGGGAUAACGUAGGGAAACUUACGCUAAUACCGCAUACGACCUACGGGUGAAAGCAGGGGAUCUUCGGACCUUGCGCGAUUGAAUGAGCCGAUGUCGGAUUAGCUAGUUGGCGGGGUAAAGGCCCACCAAGGCGACGAUCCGUAGCUGGUCUGAGAGGAUGAUCAGCCACACUGGAACUGAGACACGGUCCAGACUCCGACGGGAGGCAGCAGUGGGGAAGAUUGGACAAUGGGCGCAAGCCUGAUCCAGCCAUACCGCGUGGGUGAAGAAGGCCUUCGGGUUGUAAAGCCCUUUUGUUGGGAAAGAAAAGCAGCAGGUUAAUACCCCGCUGUUCUGACGGUACCCAAAGAAUAAGCACCGGCUAACUUCGUG